AGCGAACGCUGGCGGCAGGCCUAACACAUGCAAGUCGAACGAAGUCUUCGGACUUAGUGACGGACGGGUGAGUAACACGUGGGAACGUGCCUUUAGGUUCGGAAUAACUCAGGGAAACUUGUGCUAAUACCGAAUGUGCCCUUCGGGGGAAAGAUUUAUCGCCUUUAGAGCGGCCCGCGUCUGAUUAGCUAGUUGGUGAGGUAAUGGCUCACCAAGGCGACGAUCGGUAGCUGGUCUGAGAGGAUGAUCAGCCACACUGGGACUGAGACACGGCCCAGACUCCUACGGGAGGCAGCAGUGGGGAAUCUUAGACAAUGGGGGAAACCCUGAUCUGGCCAUGCCGCGUGAUCGAUGAAGGCCUUAGGGUUGUAAAGAUCUUUCAGUGGGGAAGAUAAUGACUGUACCCACAGAAGAAGCCCCGGCUAACUCCGUGCCAGCCGCCGCGGUAA
rnacentral:rRNA from 1 species